UGACACGGGGCUCGAACUCACGGACUGUGAGAUCAUGACCUGAGCUGAAGUCAGACGCUUAACUGACUGAGCUACCCAGGCGCCCCAAAAUAAUAGUGUUUUGUCACCACCUUUCAUAAAUGGUUCUUGAAGGGAACCCUUGUGUUAACAUCUUCCCUUUCACUACAUUUUAAUUUCCCUUAGAAACUGAAUUACAGAUGCUUUAUUUCUCAUUUGUGUACUUUCCUAACAGUAGUCUGUAUGUUUGAGAAUCUGUUGCCACUUUGUAAAUAAAUCCCAAAAUAAGAUUUUGACCUUCAUAAUGCUAGACAGUCUUCUGUCUCUGAACUUCAAAUCAUGAUAUCUUCUGAAGAAAGUUCCACUUGUGAUUAUAUUUUCUUUGUAACAAACUGGUAUACAUUUUAGACCCUACCUUUUCUCUAUGGAGUAUAGUGGUCUGAAAUUCAGAAAUGAGAAUAUUCCCUGUUGAAGGCAUAUUAUUAAGCAUGAAGCUUAAGGUUAGAUUUCUCAUUGAAAUUCUUUUGAUAUGCUGAGGUUGCAUCUUGGAGGUUAAUUAAAGGAAAGAAUGUCGGGAUGAUUAAGAUGGCAUCAGUAAAUUAAUACCCAAUUUUUCAUUUUUGUGUUGGUAGUAACCGUAGUUUCAGCUUUUCUUAUUUUAUGCAAAAUAUCCAUGCGUUUUUACUUUGAAGAUAUGUGUAGUUUGCAAGUGCUUGAAAAAAAUUCCUUAAACAUCCCUUGUAGCUAGUUCAGUGGUAUAUUUGUGCUAUCACUGAGAUUUUUUAAAAGUUAGAUAUUGGUAUGAAAAAAUAUUUUUAUAAGGUAUUUUGAACUUGUAAUUAGAGCAUGUGAAGGUUAUUAGUAUAGUAGAGAAGUAAACUUUGCUAUUUGUAAUAAUUUUCUUAACACUCGGAAUAUAAGUAAAUUAGGUUUAUCGAGAACAGAUACCUUGGUUUUUCUAUAAUAGUUGCCACUGAGCAAUUUUUAUCAAAUACAAGUGGAUUGCUGCUAUUCACAUAAUAAGUCCUCGUUGUUGAAGGUAAAUGAUUGAAAUUAUGUAUUUUUGCUUGAUUUUAUAAUGACCCUACUCACUUUUGUGGUAUUAAUCAGUUGCUAUGUGAAGUAUUACUUAAAUAGGACGCACCAUUUGAUAAGGAAACACUCCAUAUGUUUUGUAAUCCUUAUACAGAAUUAUUUUCUCUUAACUCUUAUUCAUGAUGAUGGGCCUAGGUGCUAAGUCCCUCAUAUUCAAUCUUCUUUGCCCCAUGGGACUUAGGAAAAUCUUUUGCCUAAUAAAAAUUUAUUUUCAAAGGAUGGUACUGGUGGUGGUCCCAAGAAUGAAACAUUCAAAAGAAAUGGCAUUUGAAUUGGGUACCCUGAAUAUGAAGAGAUAAUAGUUAUCAAUCAGGUAUUUAUUGCCCACUCUGUAUGUGCUGGGUACUGUGUUAGGUACAAGGAUACAGUGGUAUGCAAAAACCACACAUGUACACACUAACUUUAAUGAGCCAGUAUUUUUGGAGAGAGAGUUUCACAAAUUGUAAAACAAUUGCAACAAGUAGAGAAAUAAGAACUGUAGGUCUGUGGUAGCAAGAGAAUGUAUAAUAGAAGAAUUAGAUGAGAAAAGCCUUCCCUUAGGCAGUGAUGCUUAAGGUAUAAUCUUAGGAGUAAGUAAAAGUUAACUAGGCAGAGGUGGGAGGGAAGACUAUCCAGACAGAGGAAAUAUUGGCAUUAGUCUGUACCUGACGUUCCAAGCCAUGUUUUCUUUGUCAGGGCUCUUGUUUAGAAGUACAGUACCAGAAACAUGCUUUUAAUAC